ensembl:lncRNA
UUGCAGUGUUGUGCGGAAGAUCAUGUCUGUGCCCUGUGGUGCUGUCAGCAGUGACAGAUCCCAGACGCGGCCGCUACUGUAUGGCAGAUUGAGUUUCUCAGCAGAAAACUCUCCCUCCCUCCCUCCCUCCUGAACGUCUUCAAAAACCUUCUCCAGAUACUGCGGGUCACUUCGGCUCCAGCGGAGAGAGAAAAGGGGAAAAAGCCUUCCCGGUCUCCCACCUUCCCUUCCUCCCGCCGGCUCUUCCUGGGGCGCGGGGGGGCCGUGCCCUACCCUCCCCCCUCUCCCCCCCUCGGGGGUGCUCUCGGCUCCCCGAUCGCCUCCAGUGCGCUCAGAGCCCGCAGCGGGACGUCUUCUUCAGCAUUAUUUGCAGGGUACAGAACUCAGGAGAAGUUGUAGGGGAGAGGAGAGGGCGUUCAAAAAACAGACCAUUACUUCAUAGAUCUUUACAAGACCCGAACAGGCCCACAUCUGGACUGAGGAGCGGAGAUGAUGGAGAGCGAGGAAUCGGCUGCAAGCAGCCUGCUUCACAGGCACUCCUGGAUGGGUCACCCCAUGCCUGCGAGCAAUGGGUCAGGGCAGUGCUGUCAAUAACAUGGUGUUGUAUGUAAAGCUGGGAGCACAGAGUCCCACACCGUUGUAUGUGCUCAGCAAAGCUCCCAUUUGCCUCCAGGAGAAUUCUGCCUAUGUAAGGACUUAAGAGCCAUUGCUAGGAGCUAAGAAAAGAGCAUUAUUAAUUCACUUCAUCGCUGGCUCAGUGAAAGCCAACAGCUUUCUGCAGUCUUGCCAAAAUGAAGAGGAGAUGGUCUGAGGUACAUGCAGGGUGAUUUUCAUACCGAAGGUGAGAAAGGAGAAAUCGUUUUAAGGUACGGUAACUUGCCGUACAAACGUGAUCUGUGUUCCCUCCCAGCUUUGAAAGGAGACUUUAUAAACUCUGUGGCCUUUGAUUUGUUAAGGCAACCUUAUACUUAUUUUUUUUAAUUCCCAAGUUUGUGAGAAAAUAGAAAGGAACCCUUGAUGUUCUUAUGCUCUCGAUUAUCACUUCAUUGUAGAAGUAUUUGCUUAAUGAAACAUACAGCAAAUAUUGCACUGUAAAACCUGUUGCAAUGUACUCAAUAUCUUUUGGAAUUAAUAGAAAAAAAAAUACAAGACUGCAGAAAAGGCACUAAUUUUUAUUUUAUCUAAUAAAAAUGUUACUUGACUGCAAAGCACUUUGCUUUAUUUUCUCACUUAUAUUGUAUAUAUUUGAAGAGAAAUGUCUGCUGCACGUCAUCUAUCUAACACAAAAAACUGAUGCUGUUAUUAAUAAGUUACAGAGAAAAAUAAACCAGUUUGCACUUUGAUUUUUAUCAUUCCUAGUGAGCGAUUCCUUUGGAAUAAACAUAACUCUAACACAUGUAAACAACACAGGAAAUUAAUAACAAAAUUCUUUGGAUUUAUUUCAGAUGCCACAUACUUUAUGUAAAUAUAUGCGGCUUUCAAUUUCAAUGAUUUUCCAGUAAGUAAUAAACUUUGCUCAUUAACCUCCUUUUAAACUAAACAUUUAUUACUUUAUAAGUGUUAUUUCAACUAAAUCAAGUGGAUAUGCUCAGUAAAUGAAUGCAACAAAUCUGCUCAGCCAGAGAAGCAGGAUAGCUUCUUUUCAGCUGGGCAUACUGUGAGUUUCUUCUUCAGCUUCAAGGGAGUG